UACGGAGGAGGCAAGCGUUAUCCGGAAUUAUUGGGCGUAAAGAGCUCGUAGGCGGUCUGUUGCGUCGGCUGUGAAAACCCGGGGCUCAACUCCGGGCCUGCAGCCGAUACGGGCAGACUAGAGUUCGGCAGGGGAGACUGGAAUUCCUGGUGUAGCGGUGAAAUGCGCAGAUAUCAGGAGGAACACCGGUGGCGAAGGCGGGUCUCUGGGCCGAAACUGACGCUGAGGAGCGAAAGCGUGGGGAGCGAACAGG
rnacentral:rRNA from 1 species